rnacentral:lncRNA from 1 species
UAAUUUCAAUGGAAACUUUAGUGUUUUAGACCUUGCCCAUGUAGCUGAACGCUCAUCUCUGGAUCUUAUUUCCAGUCCUCAGGAGGACUGGUUUUGAUGACCUAGUCUGAUUACAGCAUCUUUGACAGCUUUAAAGAAAUUUGCUCCGGGGAAGGAGACAGCUGCUGCUCUGAUGAAGGAUUUUUCUGAGCAGGCCUCCCAAGCUAGACAUGUCAGUAUGAGAUGCUGCCUACGUUUUUCAUCAUGACCAACAGGUUGUUAAACUGCAAUCAAAAGCACUUAGGAGGAAUGGAUCUGUCCCUGUUAUGAGAUUUGAACUGACAUCUUUAUCCACUGGAACUUGAGUGCCCAGGACACACCAGAGAGGGGAUUUUGAGAGCGUUUCACAAGGCCUGCAGCUGUGAGCCGGUUGCAGCAUGAGGAAAAGCCCUCCAUCACCCCAAUGUACAGGAAAGAGAAGACAGAUGACAGUAGCUAUCCUCCUUCAAUACUGAGGAAAAGGCCACCUGUGGACCAAGCUGUGGGGGAAAAGAGGAAAGCAGAGAGAAGGGUUCGAUUUCGUGAGCCAGAAGAAGUCAUUGAACAUGGUACGCUCAACCUACUAAGCCUUUGGCAUGACCUUUCCAGCUUUUGACAUUCACCCUGUCUGUCCGCAUUAA